rnacentral:rRNA from 1 species
GUACACGCUGUGACUAGCAUAUCAAUAAGCGGAGGAAAAGAAACUAACAAGGAUUCCCCUAGUAACGGCGAGUGAAGCGGGAAGAGCUCAAAUUUGAAAUCUUAAAGGGUUUCCCUUUACGAAUUGUAGUUUAAAGAAGUGUUUUCUGUUGAGGUUUUGGUAAAAGUUCUUUGGAAUAGGACAUCAUAGAGGGUGAGAAUCCCGUAUUUGACCUUUACUUUCCAACUUUGUGAUACACUUUCAAAGAGUCGGAUUGUUUGGGAAUGCAGUCCAAAAUGGGUGGUAAAUUUCAUCUAAAGCUAAAUAUUGGCGAGAGACCGAUAGCGAACAAGUACCGUGAGGGAAAGAUGAAAAGAACUCUGAAAAGAGAGUUAAACAGGUACGUGAAAUUGUCAAAAGGGAAGCGUUUGACACCAGUGUUGUUUUUCUGAAAAUCAAUUAUAGAACUGUUUAUGCUAAGUUGUUUAGACUUUAUCAGCUAACUGUUUAGUUUUGAGCUUUUCUUUAAUGCACUUUUCAGUUAACAAGUCAACAUCAAUUUCUUUUGCUGUAAAAAAGCUUGAGGAAGGUGGCUUGAGAUUCGUCUUAAGUGUUUAUAGCCUCUUGCCUAUGCAGUCGGAGAGAUUGAGGUCUGCAGCGUAGAUCCUUCGGGGCUAAAUGCAUUUGUGCUAAGUUAUAGCAUUUUAUAGACAACUUGUUGACUAUGAUUUGUCUUGUAGCUUACUCGCUUAUGUUAUUUUACCUACGCUUAGGAUGUUGACAGCAGUAUAGACUGU